rnacentral:rRNA from 1 species
UGGGGAAUAUUGCACAAUGGACGGAAGUUUGAUGCAGCGACGCCGCGUGGAGGGUGUAGGCCUUCGGGUUGUGAACUCCUUUUUCUCGCGAAAAAGGCACAGUUUUGGCUGUGUUGAUGGUAGUGGGGGAAGAAGCGCCGGCUAACUACGUGCCAGCAGCCGCGGUAAUACGUAGGGCGCGAGCGUUGUCCGGAUUUAUUGGGUUUAAAGGGUGCGUAGGUUGUUCGGUAAGUCAGCGGUGAAACCUGAGCGCUCAACGUUCAGCCUGCCGUUGAAACUGCCGGGCUUGAGUUCAGUGGCGGCAGGCGGAAUUCGUGGUGUAGCGGUGAAAUGCAUAGAUAUCACGAGGAACUCCGAUUGCGAAGGCAGCUUGCCAUACUGCGACUGACACUGAAGCACGAAGGCGUGGGUAUCAAACAGG